CGAGUCACCCCAAAAUUAGAAAAAAAUAUAACAAGUGAAAUCUCACAGAACAUGUGGGAAUCUUUUUAGUAAUUAAACACUGUGUAGUGUACCGUACUAUGGGAGUAGUUGCUUCAGCUUUCAAUUUCUAUUAAUGCCGCUAAUCAAUUACUAUAAUUGUAUGAUUCCUUUACUUGCUAUUUACUUAUAAUUGUGUAAGGCAACACAACAAUCAAAUCAAAUGGGAUCGGAGAUCUCAUUCGCCGGAAUAUUCGUUAUUAGUGCUACCGCUGCUUGUUUUGCCGAGUUGUGUACAUUACCUUUAGACACGGCUAAAGUACGACUACAGCUGCAAAAGAGAGGAUCAGGGGAAGGUGGUGUAUCCAAGUACAGGGGAUUACUAGGUACAGUUGUUACAAUUGCUAAGGAAGAAGGUUUAUUAGCUCUUUGGAAAGGCAUUAUACCUGGCUUACAUCGCCAAUGUAUUUAUGGUGGCCUAAGGAUUGGCUUAUAUGAACCCGUCAAGGCGUUCGUUGUAGGCAGCCAUUAUGUUGGAGAUAUUUCCUUAUUCAGUAAAGUUUUUGCUGCUCUUGUUACUGGUGCAGUAGCAAUUGCUGUGGCUAAUCCCACUGAUCUUGUAAAAGUUCGACUCCAGGCUGAAGGUAAAGCUGGUACAUCUAGGCGUUAUGAUGGUGCUCUCGAUGCAUACUAUACCAUAGUGAAACAGGAAGGGCUGGCGGCUUUGUGGACAGGAAUUGUGCCAAAUAUUGCACGGAAUGCUAUUAUUAAUGCUGCUGAACUGGCCAGUUAUGAUCAUCUCAAAGAGAUAAUCGUAAAACUUCCAGGAUUUACAGAUAGUGUUUUAACUCAUCUCCUAGCUGGUUUAGGUGCUGGAUUCUUUGCAGUUUCUAUUGGUUCACCAGUUGAUGUGGUCAAAUCAAGAAUGAUGGGAGAUUCAGUAUACAAGAACACCUUUGAUUGUUUUUUCAGAACAUUGAAGUACGAGGGACCACUUGCUUUUUAUAAGGGUUUCCUCCCCAAUUUUUUUCGACUAGGAUCGUGGAAUGUUAUCAUGUUUUUGACUCUUGAGCAAUAGAAGAUCCUCUAAUUUCUAUAAGAAGUGAUUAUUGUGUUUGCAAGACGAAAGCCUCUCUUAUCAAACAAAAAAAGGAAAGCCUCUCUUCAUUUUCUAUUACAAACAAAUGAACGAGGUCAAGAGAUUCUUCGGAUGAUGAAUAAAUAUUUUUAGACCAUUGAGUGUUUGCCAGCAGAAAGUGCUUUUAGCUUGGGAUUGGAUUUGUGCUUCUGCAAUUGCUUUCUGAAGAGGAAACGGAUGUUUCUCAGAACCAGUGUGGGUGUUUCGAACCGGGAAUGCGAUUUUCUUGUCAGAUAUCACAAAAGUUACUCUGUUAUUCAUAGGGCCUGCAGGGAUACACUGGGUUGCCUUUGUUUUUUCUCCAGUUAUAAUUACGAUGCAUCUGGAUAAUUAGUAUAUAAGUGAGUAACUUUGAUAAGUACAACAGAAUACUUUAAUUGGUAAUACAUACCAAAUGUCUCUCUCAAAAAGCCAAAGAGGAAUAGAAUGAGAAAAUGUAGUCACACGAUUUGAGUCAUCUACGUAGAAAGUCAUCGAUGCAUAACUUGUAUUCUUGUUUAUUUGACUGGAAGAUCAUUCAUAUAGUUGAAGUGUAAUCGAUUUUGUUUUUGUUUUUUU